GCAUCUGUAGCCUAGUUGGUAAAGGAAGCACUCUUGUAUGUGACUCAGCAUUGCUGAGGUUGUGAGUUCAAAUCUCACCAGGCACA
rfam:Puccinia graminis f. sp. tritici CRL 75-36-700-3 supercont2.6 genomic scaffold, whole genome shotgun sequence.